ACGUACACUCCUGCGGGAGGCAGCAGUGGGGAAUAUUGCACAAUGGGCGCAAGCCUGAUGCAGCGACGCCGCGUGGGGGAUGAAGGCCUUCGGGUUGUAAACUCCUUUCGCUAGGGACGAAGCUUUUUUGUGACGGUACCUAGAUAAGAAGCACCGGCUAACUACGUGCCAGCAGCCGCGGUAAUACGUAGGGUGCGAGCGUUGUCCGGAAUUACUGGGCGUAAAGGGCUCGUAGGUGGUUUGUCGCGUCGUCUGUGAAAUUCUGGGGCUUAACUCCGGGCGUGCAGGCGAUACGGGCAUAACUUGAGUGCUGUAGGGGUAACUGGAAUUCCUGGUGUAGCGGUGAAAUGCGCAGAUAUCAGGAGGAACACCGAUGGCGAAGGCAGGUUACUGGGCAGUUACUGACGCUGAGGAGCGAAAGCAUGGGUAGCGAACAGGAUUAGAUACCCCAGUAGUCCCAUG
rnacentral:rRNA from 1 species